AAGGACCCCGGGAGGGGAGUGAAAGAGAACCUGAAACCUUGUGCUUACAAGCACUCAAAGCCCGUUAAAGGGUGAUGAGGUACCUUUUGUAGAAUGGUCCGGCGAGUUAUUGUUACUGGCAAGCUUAAGGCAUUCAGUGCCGGAGGCGCAGGGAGACCGAGUCUGAAUAGGGCGUAUGAAGUCAGUGGCAAUAGACCCGAAACCGGGUGACCUAUCCAUGGGCAGGUUGAAGUGGGGGUAAAACCCCAUGGAGGACCGAACCGACCCCCGUUGCAAUGGUGGCGGAUGACCUGUGGAUAGCGGAGAAAUUCUAAUCGAACUUGGAGAUAGCUGGUUCUCCCCGAAAUAGCUUUAGGGCUAGCGUUAGUUUAGAUUACCGGAGGUAAAGCACUGAAUGGGCUAGGGGCUGAUAAAGUUACUGAACCCUAUCAAACUAAGAAUGCCGGCAAAUUGAUGAUCAGCAGUCAGACUACGUGAGAUAAGUCUCGUGGUCAAAAGGGAAACAGCCCAGACCCACAGCUAAGGUCCCAAAGAUACGCUAAGUGGAAAACGAUGUGGAGUUGCGAAAACAACCAGGAUGUUGGCUUAGAAGCAGCCACUCAUUAAAAGAGUGCGUAAUAGCUCACUGGUCGAGUGACCCUGCGCCGAAAAUUCAACGGGGCUAAACAAUGUACCGAAGCUUGGGAUUCUAGAUUUAUCUAGAGUGGUAGGAGAGCGUCGAAUAAGGGGUGAAGUCAGAGCGGAAGCGCUGGUGGACUUUAUUCGAGUGAGAAUGCCGGAAUGAGUAGCGAGAAUUAUGUGAGAAUCAUAAUGGCCGAAAAUCUAAGGUUUCCUGAGGAAGGUUCGUCCGCUCAGGGUAAGCCGGGGGCUAAGGCGAGGCGGAGACGCGUAGCCGAUGCACAUACGGUUGAAAUUCCGUAGCCACCGAAAGAUUUAAGUACAGGGACGCUUUAGAAGUGAUGUAGCCGGGCGAUGGUUGACCCGGUCGUAAGGGAUCGAAAAUGAGUAGAGAAGUCAUCAUGGAAAGAGACAAGAAAAGCUGUAUGAAUAUCUUAGGUGCCCGUACCGCAAACCGACACAGGUAGAUAGGAAGAAGAUUCUAAGGCCAACGGGAGAAGGGUUGUUAAGGAACUCGGCAAGUUGACCCCGUAACUUCGGAAGAAGGGGAGCCUCGAAAGAGGCCGCAGUGAAUAGGCCCAAGCAACUGUUUACCAAAAACACAGGUCUAUGCUAAAUCGAAAGAUGACGUAUAUGGGCUGACGCCUGCCCGGUGCCGGAAGGUUAAGAGGAGAUGUCAGCGCAAGCGAAGCAUUGAAUUGAAGCCCCGGUAAACGGCGGCCGUAACUAUAACGGUCCUAAGGUAGCGAAAUUCCUUGUCAGGUAAGUUCUGACCCGCAUGAAAGGCGUAAUGAUUUGGGCACUGUCUCAACAGCCCGCCCGGCGAAAUUGUAGUACCGGUGAAGAUGCCGGUUACCCGCAACUAGACGGAAAGACCCCAUGGAGCUUUACUGCAGCUUAAUACUGGAAAUCGGUAAUUCAUGUACAGGAUAGGUGGGAGACUUGGAAGUCCGGGCGUCAGCUUGGAUGGAGUCGCCGGUGGGAUACCACUCUUGGAUUGCUGAUUUUCUAACCUGCGGCCGUGAAUCCGGUCGGGGGACACUGUUAGGCGGGCAGUUUGACUGGGGCGGUCGCCUCCUAAAAUGUAACGGAGGCGCUCAAAGGUUGGCUCAGCACGGACGGAAAUCGUGCAGUGAGUGUAAACGUAUAAGCCAGCCUAACUGCGAGACCGACGGGUCGAGCAGUAACGAAAGUUGGAGUUAGUGAUCCGGUGGUAUGUGAGUGGAAAUGCCAUCGCUCAACGGAUAAAAGCUACCCUGGGGAUAACAGGCUGAUCUCCCCCAAGCGUCCACAGCGACGGGGAGGUUUGGCACCUCGAUGUCGGCUCGUCACAUCCUGGGGCUGAAUUCGGUCCCAAGGGUUCGGCUGUUCGCCGAUUAAAGUGGCACGCGAGCUGGGUUCAGAACGUCGUGAGACAGUUCGGUCCCUAUCUGUUGCGGGCGUAAGAGAUUUGAAGGGAGCUGUCCUUAGUACGAGAGGACCGGGAUGGACAUACCUCUGGUGCACCAGUUGUCCUGCCAAGGGCAUAGCUGGGUAGCUAAGUAUGGACGAGAUAAACGCUGAAAGCAUCUAAGCGUGAAACUCCCCCUAAGAUGAGAUCUCUCACUCUUCAUGAGGUAAGGGCCCAGGCAGACUACCUGGUUGA
rnacentral:rRNA from 1 species